UACGUAGGGUGCGAGCGUUAAUCGGAAUUACUGGGCGUAAAGCGUGCGCAGGCGGUCUUUUAAGUCAGAUGUGAAAUCCCCGGGCUUAACCUGGGAACUGCGUUUGAAACUGGAAGGCUAGAGUGUGGCAGAGGGAAGUGGAAUUUCCGGUGUAGCGGUGAAAUGCGUAGAUAUCGGAAGGAACAUCAGUGGCGAAGGCGGCUUCCUGGCACCAAACUGACACUGAGGCGCGAAAGCGUGGGGAGCAAACAGG
rnacentral:rRNA from 1 species